GACAAAGAUUGAAUUCCUUUGUUGACAAAGACGUGUUACUUCAUCUUCAUCACGCAAAUGAAGAUGAAUGACGCCCUUCCUGGUCUGCGAAGAACGCCGUAGUUCGCCGACACAUUCGGGAAUGGGAGGGCUAAGAUUGACGCCAGCGCCCCCUGUGACCCUCGUGUGGAGGAUAAAGUGGUAGAAGAUGAGUGAGGGAGAACAACCUUUUUAUGGGUCCACAGACACUAAUGAGUUAAUGCGGAGCAGCUGGCGAGGCAGGCAGCAGAGGGAUGAUGAGUGGAUGAGCCACAGAUGUGCUGGGCAGAGGAACACGCCGGUGGUCAGG